rnacentral:rRNA from 1 species
UUUGGUGGAGACUGUGGAAGCCACCCGGUCCCGGCAGACCCCGGAAGGAGGCCACCUUCGCUGGUGCUGGAACAAGGCCGUCAAGG